rnacentral:antisense_RNA from 1 species
UGUGGGAGCGGGCUUGCCUGCGAUGCAGACGCCUCGGUCUUUAGUUGAACCGAGGUCUGCAAUCGCAGGCAAACCAGCUCCCACA